rnacentral:rRNA from 1 species
GCUAGUUGGCGGGCGACGGCCCACCAAGGCGACGAUGUCUAGGGGUUCUGAGAGGAACGGUCCCCACACUGGUACUGAGACACGGACCAGACUCCUACGGGAGGCAGCAG